rnacentral:RNase_P_RNA from 1 species
GGCGGCCGCUGGCAUAGUUCAGAGGAAAGUCCAUGCUCGCACUGUCUGCGAUGACAGUAGUGUCUGUGCUGGUCCAAUCAAUAAGGCCAGGCAUCCGCAAGGAUGACGGCGGAACCGAAGCCUAAAGGCGUAUGCCCAUGGUGGAGGUCCUUAAGGUGUCACAGUGACGAAGUCCCCGGGGAAACGCGGGGAGUGGAACGCGAUAAACCCCUCAGGCGAGAAACCCAAAUUUGGUAGGGGAACCGGAAAGGGUGAAAUGAAACCACGAUCCGGCUGCACUUCUGUGCAGAGAUAAAUGGCUGCCGCACCGCAAGGUGAACAGAACAUGGCUUAU